rnacentral:rRNA from 1 species
CCAGACUCCUACGGGAGGCAGCAGUGGGGAAUAUUGCACAAUGGGGGAAACCCUGAUGCAGCGACGCCGCGUGAGCAAAGAAGUACCUCGGUAUGUAAAGCUCUAUCAGCAGGGAAGAAAGUGACAGUACCUGACUAAGAAGCCCCGGCUAACUACGUGCCAGCAGCCGCGGUAAUACGUAGGGGGCAAGCGUUAUCCGGAUUCACUGGGCGUAAAGGGAGCGCAGGCGGCGCGGCAAGUCUGAUGUGAAAGCCCGGGGCUCAACCCCGGGUCUGCAUUGGAAACUGUACGGCUGGAGUGCAGGAGAGGUAAGUGGAAUUCCUAGUGUAGCGGUGAAAUGCGUAGAUAUUAGGAGGAACACCAGUGGCGAAGGCGGCUUACUGGACUGUAACUGACGUUGAGGCUCGAAAGCGUGGGGAGCAAACAGGAUUAGAUACCCCUGUAAG